rnacentral:tRNA from 1 species
GCGCCCGUAGCUCAGCUGGAUAGAGCGCCAGGCUACGAACCUGUAGGUCAGGAGUUCGAAUCUCUUCGGGCGCGCCA